rnacentral:rRNA from 1 species
CCUACGGGUGGCAGCAGUGAGGAAUAUUGGUCAAUGGGCGUAAGCCUGAACCAGCCAAGUCGCGUGAGGGAUGAAGGUUCUAUGGAUCGUAAACCUCUUUUAUAAGGGAAUAAAGUGUGGGACGUGUCCUAUUUUGUAUGUACCUUAUGAAUAAGGAUCGGCUAACUCCGUGCCAGCAGCCGCGGUAAUACGGAGGAUCCGAGCGUUAUCCGGAUUUAUUGGGUUUAAAGGGAGCGUAGGCCGGCUUUUAAGUCAGCUGUGAAAGUCCGCGGCUCAACCGUGGAAUUGCAGUUGAAACUGGAGGCCUUGAGUGCACACAGGGAUGCCGGAAUUCAUGGUGUAGCGGUGAAAUGCUUAGAUAUCAUGAAGAACUCCGAUCGCGAAGGCAAGUGUCCGGGGUGCAACUGACGCUGAGGCUCGAAAGUGCGGGUAUCAAACAGGAUUAGAUACCCCAGUAGUC